UGCCACCCUCAAUGCUACAGGAUGUUUAUA
rnacentral:piRNA from 1 species